CUCCUACGGGAGGCAGCAGUGAGGAAUAUUGGUCAAUGGGCGCGAGCCUGAACCAGCCAAGUAGCGUGAAGGAUGAAGGUCCUACGGAUUGUAAACUUCUUUUAUAAGGGAAUAAAGUCGCCUACGUGUAGGCGUUUGUAUGUACCUUAUGAAUAAGCAUCGGCUAACUCCGUGCCAGCAGCCGCGGUAAUACGGAGGAUGCGAGCGUUAUCCGGAUUUAUUGGGUUUAAAGGGAGCGUAGACGGAGGAUUAAGUCAGUUGUGAAAGUUUGCGGCUCAACCGUAAAAUUGCAGUUGAUACUGGUUCCCUUGAGUGCAGUUGAGGCAGGCGGAAUUCGUGGUGUAGCGGUGAAAUGCAUAGAUAUCACGAAGAACCCCGAUUGCGAAGGCAGCCUGCUAAGCUGUAACUGACGUUGAGGCUCAAAAGUGUGGGUAUCAAACAGGAUUAGAUACCCUGGUAGUCCACACGGUAAACGAUGGAUACUCGCUGUUGGCGAUAUACUGUCAGCGGCCAAGCGAAAGCAUUAAGUAUCCCACCUGGGGAGUACGCCGGCAACGGUGAAACUCAAAGGAAUUGACGGGGGCCCGCACAAGCGGAGGAACAUGUGGUUUAAUUCGAUGAUACGCGAGGAACCUUACCCGGGCUUAAAUUGCAGACGAAUUACCUGGAAACAGGUAAGCCGCAAGGCGUCUGUGAAGGUGCUGCAUGGUUGUCGUCAGCUCGUGCCGUGAGGUGUCGGCUUAAGUGCCAUAACGAGCGCAACCCUCGUGGUCAGUUACUAACAGGUCAAGCUGAGGACUCUGGCCAGACUGCCAUCGUAAGAUGCGAGGAAGGUGGGGAUGACGUCAAAUCAGCACGGCCCUUACGUCCGGGGCUACACACGUGUUACAAUGGGAGGUACAGAAGGCAGCUACCCGGCGACGGGAUGCCAAUCUCCAAAACCUCUCUCAGUUCGGACUGGAGUCUGCAACCCGACUCCACGAAGCUGGAUUCGCUAGUAAUCGCGCAUCAGCCACGGCGCGGUGAAUACGUUCCCGGGCCUUGUACACACCGC
rnacentral:rRNA from 1 species